rnacentral:rRNA from 1 species
UACGUAGGGUGCAAGCGUUAUCCGGAAUUAUUGGGCGUAAAGAGCUCGUAGGCGGUUUGUCGCGUCUGCUGUGAAAACUGGAGGCUCAACCUCCAGCCUGCAGUGGGUACGGGCAGACUAGAGUGCGGUAGGGGAGAUUGGAAUUCCCGGUGUAGCGGUGAAAUGCGCAGAUAUCGGGAAGAACACCCGUGGCGAAGGCGGUUCUCUGGGACGGUACUGACGCUGAGACGCGAAAGCGUGGGGGAGCGAACAGG